AACUCUAGAUUUCCCACCUCAAAUAAAAGAACCAGAAAUAAAAAUAAUCAUUCAUAUGGUGGGGGAAAUUGUGAACAUAUGCCCCGGAGCAAGCUGACGACUUGUUCUGAUCUUUAACUAAAGAAACAGAAAUCUGAUCAACACUGGAAAUAAAUCUGUCUUCUUUGGCUUACUGUGAGAAAGCGUCAGUCUCAACUGUGGCACGAUCAUUCCACUAUUCUGUUUUCAUUUUGACACUGUAAUUUUUUCCUUUAGAACCUGAAGCAGUGUUAAGAUGUGCUUCCCCUGGACUUGAACUUUCCACGUCAGUGUGGCAGCUGACGGAAGCAAGGCAGUGUCUGAGCUUUAGAAGCCUGAGGAUGUGAAGAAAGCAGAAAACUGUAUACCUGUUUACUCUGACCUCUUUCCCUGGCACAAUGUCUCAGCCCUCCACAAACUCAGGAAACCACCAAGGAAUUUCAAACAUGGAACUGAUGAUGUUGUUACUCAACCAGACCCAUUUUGCCUGCUGUGUCGUGUACCAAUCACUGAGAUAACAAGUUUUACAGUGGUGGAAGUGUGUAUUCAUGUAGCGGCCAAACAAGGAGAUGAGAGAACAGGUCUCAAAUCUACCUCUCCAAAGAUGGGGUUUAGGGAUAUUUAUGAGAUAGAGGAGCAGGGUGGUCUGAGGCAUGGGGGAGGGUGAUUGCAGGUUAGAAAAAAUGAGGUAAUCAGUGUUCUGCACAAGGGUAAACUUUAUAGCUCUUCUUAGGAUGUGUUUUUGAAAAAUGGCAGCAUUGGCAUGAUCUGAGGGUGAAGCCUUCUGCCCUCUGACAUCAAAAGGUCACCCAUCGUUCAUCCAGGCCCAGGUGAUAGGUCAGUAGUAUCAGCUGGCAUGAAUGACUUAAGAGCUGAUGCUGAGUUCCUGAAAAACACCUUAGGAAACCAUCACCAUCAUUACCCACACUUCAGAGAUGCUAUCUAUGGGGAAGCAGAAGGGAGUCUUACCAUACACUGCUUAGCUACAUAACAUUUAGAGUUAGUAAUAUUACAAAACUAUCAAACCAGCUAAAAGCAAGUGAAGCAGGUUAAAAUUUGAUGAGCCUAAUUGUGUUUGCCCUCAGCUUCAAUGUUUGGCUUAUUUUGAAAGAUGAAGUGUGUCAUAUGAUUGCACUGAGUUUAAAAAAAAUGGUUGCAAGACUGUCUAUUUAACCAAUAUUUUUAUAUUCCUAUUAUAUAGACACUUUUCAGUGAACUAGGAAUACAGUAUUAAAAAAUUAAGACUGAGACCUAAUAACUAGACUAAACUUGCGUUAAGUAUGAAGACAAACAUACAUUAAAAGUAGAGACUGCAGAAAGAUAAUUAUGCCAACACUAAUUUUUAAAAAGCUGGAGUGGCUAUAUUAAUUUCAGAGAGAAUAGAUGGUAGAGCAAGGAAACUUAUCAGGAAUAAAGAGAAAUAUUAAAUAACAAUAAAGUAGUAAAUUCUGAAACAAAACGUAGCAAUUCUUUAUGUGAAAGCCUUUAACAUCAGCAUGUCAAAAUGUGUUAGGCAAAAACUCAGAACUGCAAGGAGAAAUAGAUGAAUCCAGUAUUAUUGUUGGAGACA
rnacentral:lncRNA from 1 species